UGCUGUAGUGCGUUUUUUUUUGUAAUAUACAGUGUGUAUAUAGCUGAUGCCAAGGUGUAUUUAUAUGAUAAACGAGUUUCAUUAUGUAACUUUAACGAUGUCUGGCAAGGCACUAUACAAGAACCUUUCUAACGGAGCCUACAAUGUCGCCCAAUGUAAUAGCCUUGAGUCUUAAAAAGUUCAACUCAGACAUGCGAAGAAAUUCAGACAGGAGCACUGGGAAUCGUAGUACGUUCAGGGAAUCGGCGUUUUAUUUUCGCGAAGAUAGCUUAUCUCACUGAAGUGCCUUAAUUUCACCUGAAUUUGGCAUUGAUAGAUAUUUUGCAGGUUGUUUCUUUGGUGAUAUUAGUACGGAAAUAUAAGAUGCAUGUACAAAUAAGCUUUUUGACAACUGAAUGUUUAUUAUUCUGUUCAAGGCGAUAAUAUAUGUAUAUAAGAUUAAUGUUUCGCAUUACACGACACACUUCGAUGCAGGAUCUUGUGUUCAUAAACUGUUGAUCAAGUCUCAACGUCCAGUAUCAAAAGUCGUUGUACAAAACAACUCAUAAACACUUAGACUCUUAGUCGGCGCGUCAAAAUGCGUCAGUAGCUUGCGAGUAAAUUCAAUUACAUGAAUGCCUUUGUACAAUUUUUUCCAUAGGAUUUACGUAUUGUACUCUUUAAAGCGUUAACUCCUUUCGACAGUCGAUAGUUUAGACAAAUAUGAAUAGUUAUGAACUUCGCUUUAUUUAUUACAUAAAAUAUAUAGUUUAUCAAGACUUCAUUUGGGCAACUGAGUUCCCUAAUAUGUCAUUUUUAUUACGUAAACGAAAUAUGACACACACAAGUGUUCCGGGGUUCGCCUGUAGACUUAAUAUAUAGAUCCGUUUGCACUUUAUAAUAUCGAC